UACGGAGGGGGCGAGCGUUGUCCGAAGUUACUGGGCGUAAAGGGCGCGUAGGCGGGGUGUCACGUCCGCUGUGAAAGCCUGGAGCUUAACUCCAGCGGGUCGGUGGAUACGGACACUCUUGAAGGCGUUAGGGGAAGAUGGAAUUACCCAUGGAGCGGUGAAAUGCGUAGAGAUCCGGAAGAACACCGGUGGCGAAGGCGGUCUGCUGGGCAGUUGCUGACACUGAGGCGCGACAGCGUGGGGAGCAAACAGG
rnacentral:rRNA from 1 species